UACAGAGGCGCAUUUUUGUUUUGUAUGUCGGCAUGUGCUCGUGGAGUUGAGGGGCGGCCGACGCACGCCAGGACACGGCCGCUACCACCGCGGUCGAAUUGCUUGUGCUGCGUGUCUCUUCCUUCUCCUUUACUCUCGCUGCCAUGGUCGUGAUUCGAUUUCGUUUCUGCGUGUGUGCUGGCUGCCCACUGUACAUCGUUUGCCAGCUACUGCUCACCUACCGCCUCGUUCUACUACUGCAAGUGCUGCCGUUGCCUCUGCCUGCGCCAUCAAGAUAAAACAUUACUGCGCUGUGUGUCGGUCUCUUUCUCUCGUCCUCCUCGGGGUGCAGAGAGGGAGAAGACGAGGUGGCGAGAAGGGCCGCCGUUGAGCUUGCUCCAUCGGACGCCGCUCCCUCUCCCCUUCUCCGCCGACCCUUUUUUUUGCCACAGUGAUCUUGUCCAUCGAUGAGGGAGGGGGCGGGGACAAUGAGACGCACUGAGGGAUGCAGACCACUGGUAAGGUGGCACUCCUGGCUUUCACUGAUCGCAUGACGCUCCCGUCCUGUGCCAGUGCAUUCGCGUCUGUGUGCGUCUUCACAGAGCUGCGACGCCGUCUCCCGUCUCUCCCUCCUUUCCUUCUCUCCGAAUGGCACAACCAUGCAUCGCACGCGGUGUGGUGGCCGCGUGCAUGAAUGCCCCUCUCCCUCCUUUCCAAAAGGCCUGUCUCCUUUUUACUGUUGUUCCUCCGCUUUUACGUGGGCGGUCCUCAUGCAG
rnacentral:misc_RNA from 1 species